UACAGAGGUCUCAAGCGUUGUUCGGAUUCAUUGGGCGUAAAGGGCGCGUAGGCUGCGGGGUAAGUCGGGUGUGAAAUCUCAGAGCUCAACUCUGAAACUGCACUCGAUACUGCUCUGCUUGAGGACUGGAGAGGAGAUUGGAAUUCACGGUGUAGCAGUGAAAUGCGUAGAUAUCGUGAGGAAGACCAGUGGCGAAGGCGGAUCUCUGGACAGUUCCUGACGCUGAGGCGCGAAGGCCCAGGGGGAGCAAACGGG
rnacentral:rRNA from 1 species